UUAAGCUAGUAAGAGCGUAGGGUGAAUGCCUAGGUACCAAGAGACGAAGAAAGACGUGAUAAGCUGCGAAAAGCUAUGGGGAGGUGCAAAUAACCAGAGAACCAUAGAUAUCUGAAUGGGGGAACCUACUAGGGAAAAGAACCUAGAGUCUGCAUAUGAAUAAAAUAGUAUGCAAGAAGGUAUACGGAGUGAACUGAAACAUCUAAGUAACUCCAGGAAAAGAAAGAGAAAUCGAUUCCGAAAGUAGUGGCGAGCGAAAUCGGAAGAGCCCAAACCAUGAGUAGAAAUACAUGUGGGGUUGAGGACUACAGGAAGCUAACAGGAAUCAUAGAAGAAUUGUAUUGGGAAAGCAAACCAGAGAGAGUGAAAGUCUCGUAAUCGAAAUGAUGAGAGUGGUGAGUAGAAUCCAGAGUACGGCAAGACACGAGAAAUCUUGUCGGAAGCAGGCCGGACCACCGGCCAAGGCUAAAUACUAAUUGGUAACCGAUAGAGAAGAAGUACCGUGAGGGAAAGUUGAAAAGAACCCCGGGAGGGGAGUGAAAUAGAACCUGAAACCCUAUGUUUACAAGCAGAUAGAGAGCGUUAAGGCUCGAUAUCGUACUUUUUGUAGAACGGUCCAGCGAGUUAUGUGUAUGAUGCGAGGUUAAAUACUAAGUGAGGUAUGGAGCCGAAGGGAAACCGAGUUUGAAAAGAGCGAAAGAAAGAGUAUCAUGCAAUAGACCCGAAACCGUGUGACCUAUCCAUGAGCAGGUUGAAACUUGAGUAAAAUCAAGCGGAGGACCGAACCGGUAUUCGUUGAAAAGGAUUCGGAUGACUUGUGGAUAGAGGAGAAAUUCCAAUCGAACACGGAGAUAGCUGGUUCUCCUCGAAAUAGCUUUAGGGCUAGCCUUGUUUAGUAGCAUGUGGAGGUAAAGCACUGAAUGUGUGAGGGGUCAUACCAGAUUACCAAACACUAUCAAACUAAGAAUGCCAUGUGUGUAAGAACAGGAGUCAGACAGUGACAGCUAAGUGCCAUUGUCAAAAGGGAAAGAGCCCAGACCAACAGCUAAGGUCCCAAAAUUAUAGUUAAGUGGAAAAGGAUGUGGGAAUUCAUAGACAACCAGGAUGUUGGCUUAGAAGCAGCCAUGCAUUUAAAGAGUGCGUAAUAGCUCACUGGUCGAAGUAGUCCUGCGCCGAAAAUUACCGGGGCUAAACUAUAUACCGAAGCUUUGGAUUUGUAUACAGAAGUAUAUGAGUGGUAGAGGAGCGUUGUGUACGGGAAGAAGUCAUACCGAGAGGAGUGGUGGACUGUACACAAGAGAGAAUGCUGGAAUAAGUAGCGAGAGCACAGUGAGAAUCUGUGCCACCGAAAACCUAAGGUUUCCUGGGGAAGGUUCGUCCGCCCAGGGUAAGUCGGGGCCUAAGAUGAGGCUGAGAAGCGUAGUCGAUGGGAAGCAGGUAAAAGAUUCCUGCACUACAAAUACGUGAUGAAGAGUUAAUGACGCAUGCUAAGAAGAUAAGCGAACAAAUGGAAAAGUUCGUAUCGAAAGAUGGAGUGAAAGAAAGUAGCGAAGUAUCAGGAGAGUGUGACAAGAAAAGUUAACGUGGAGCGUAGGAGUACUCGUACCGUAAACCGACACAGGUAGGAAGAAAGAGAAUUUUCAGGUGAGCGAGAUAAAUAUUGUUAAGGAACUCGGCAAAUUAACCCCGUAACUUAGGGAUAAGGGGAGCCAACGAGAGUUGGUCGCAGUGAAAAGGCCCAAGCAACUGUUUAACAAAAACAUAGGUUUCUGCGAAAUCGAAAGAUGAAGUAUAGGAGCUGACGCCUGCCCAGUGCUGGAAGGUCAAGUGGAAAAGUAAGUGUGAAAAUGCGAAGCUUUGAAAUUAAGCCCCAGUGAACGGCGGCCGUAACUAUAACGGUCCUAAGGUAGCGAAAUUCCUUGUCAGGUAAGUUCUGACCC
rnacentral:rRNA from 1 species